AAGGGCCUUCGACGAGUCGAGUUGUUUGGGAAUGCAGCUCCAAGUGGGUGGUAUAUUUCAUCUAAAGCUAAAUACCGGCGGGAGACCGAUAGCGCACAAGUAGAGUGAUCGAAAGAUGAAAAGCACUUUGAAAAUAGAGUCAAAAAGUACGUGAAAUUGUUGAAAGGGAAGCGCUUGAGACCAGACUCAGACCCGAGCAAACACCGUGCCCCUCGGGGCCGUGCAAUUGCCUGGGGCUGGGCCAGCAUCAGUUGGCGUGGCGGGACAAAGGCGUGGGCAAUGUGGCUCCCCUCGGGGAGUGUUAUUAGGCCCGCGCUCAAUGCCGCCGACGUCGACUGAGGACCGCGCCUCGGCUAGGAUGCUGGCUUAAUGGCCUUCAGCGACCCGUCUUGAAACACGGACCAAGGAGUCUAACAUCUAUGCGAGUGUUUGGGCGUCAAACCCUUGCGCGUAAUGAAAGUGAGCGGAGGUGGGAACCCCUCGCGGGGCGCACCAUCGACCGAUCCUGAUGUCUUCGGAUGGAUUUGAGUAGGAGCAUAGCUGUUGGGACCCGAAAGAUGGUGAACUAUGCCUGAAUAGGGUGAAGCCAGAGGAAACUCUGGUGGAGGCUCGCAGCGGUUCUGACGUGCAAAUCGAUCGUCAAAUUUGGGUAUAGGGGCGAAAGACAAUCAACAUCUGACGGA
rnacentral:rRNA from 1 species